UGUUGAUUAGGUGGGGCCUUUUAGCUUUGCUUCUGGAUGUGUGCUGCAGGGAAGCCCCUGUGUGAUUUCUUUGGCUAUGAACAGCAUUAGUGGUGUCUGUGGUUUCCUCAGUAUGCUGAGGUGCAGUUAUUAGUGGAGACUAUGGUAAAGUGGUUAUGGGGACUGGAGUGCCAGAUGGGCUCAUCUUCAGGCUUCAGAGGUAGCAGUGGUUGGCCAAGCAUGUCUAUCCUCAUAUCAUGGUGUUACGUAUGCUGGCACCUGUGUUAGUGGUUCCAAGUGAGCUGAUUCAUGGGCCUCUGCAUGGCUUUCUCAGA
rnacentral:lncRNA from 10 species